rnacentral:rRNA from 1 species
GACGAACGCUGGCGGCGUGCUUAACACAUGCAAGUCGAACGGAAAGGCCCUGCUUUUGUGGGGUGCUCGAGUGGCGAACGGGUGAGUAACACGUGAGUAACCUGCCCUUGACUUUGGGAUAAAUUCAGGAAACUGGGGCUAAUACCGGAUAGGAGCUACUGCUGAAUGGUGGGGGUUUGAAAGUUUCGGCGGUUGGGGAUGGACUCGCGGCUUAUCAGCUUGUUGGUGGGGUAGUAGCUUACCAAGGCUUUGACGGGUAGCCCGCCUGAGAGGGUGACCGGCGACACUAGGAAUAAGCUACGGCCCAGACUGCUAUGGGCGGCAGAAGUUGAAAAGAUUGUACAAUGGGCGGAAGCAGGAUGCAGUGGCGCCGCGAGCGGGAAGCUGGCGUUCUGGUUGUAAACAGAUUGCGUCUGUGAGGAAGCGUGAGUGACGGUAACGGGGAGAGAAGCACCGGCUAACUACGUG